rnacentral:rRNA from 2 species
GAACGCUGAAGAGAGGAGCUUGCUCUUCUUGGAUGAGUUGCGAACGGGUGAGUAACGCGUAGGUAACCUGCCUUGUAGCGGGGGAUAACUAUUGGAAACGAUAGCUAAUACCGCAUAACAAUGGAUGACACAUGUCAUUUAUUUGAAAGGGGCAAUUGCUCCACUACAAGAUGGACCUGCGUUGUAUUAGCUAGUAGGUGAGGUAACGGCUCACCUAGGCGACGAUACAUAGCCGACCUGAGAGGGUGAUCGGCCACACUGGGACUGAGACACGGCCCAGACUCCUACGGGAGGCAGCAGUAGGGAAUCUUCGGCAAUGGGGGCAACCCUGACCGAGCAACGCCGCGUGAGUGAAGAAGGUUUUCGGAUCGUAAAGCUCUGUUGUAAGUCAAGAACGAGUGUGAGAGUGGAAAGUUCACACUGUGACGGUAGCUUACCAGAAAGGGACGGCUAACUACGUGCCAGCAGCCGCGGUAAUACGUAGGUCCCGAGCGUUGUCCGGAUUUAUUGGGCGUAAAGCGAGCGCAGGCGGUUUGAUAAGUCUGAAGUUAAAGGCUGUGGCUCAACCAUAGUUCGCUUUGGAAACUGUCAAACUUGAGUGCAGAAGGGGAGAGUGGAAUUCCAUGUGUAGCGGUGAAAUGCGUAGAUAUAUGGAGGAACACCGGUGGCGAAAGCGGCUCUCUGGUCUGUAACUGACGCUGAGGCUCGAAAGCGUGGGGAGCGAACAGGAUUAGAUACCCUGGUAGUCCACGCCGUAAACGAUGAGUGCUAGGUGUUGGAUCCUUUCCGGGAUUCAGUGCCGCAGCUAACGCAUUAAGCACUCCGCCUGGGGAGUACGACCGCAAGGUUGAAACUCAAAGGAAUUGACGGGGGCCCGCACAAGCGGUGGAGCAUGUGGUUUAAUUCGAAGCAACGCGAAGAACCUUACCAGGUCUUGACAUCCCGAUGCUAUUUCUAGAGAUAGAAAGUUACUUCGGUACAUCGGUGACAGGUGGNGCAUGGNNGUCGU